rnacentral:rRNA from 1 species
CCUACGGGAGGCAGUAGUGGGGAAUAUUGGACAAUGGGGGGAACCCUGAUCCAGCCAUGCCGCGUGUGUGAAGAAGGCCCUCGGGUUGUAAAGCACUUUCAGUGAGGAAGAACGCCUGGUGGUUAAUACCCAUCAGGAAAGACAUCACUCACAGAAGAAGCACCGGCUAACUCCGUGCCAGCAGCCGCGGUAAUACGGAGGGUGCGAGCGUUAAUCGGAAUUACUGGGCGUAAAGCGCGCGUAGGUGGCUUGAUAAGCCGGUUGUGAAAGCCCCGGGCUCAACCUGGGAACGGCAUCCGGAACUGUCAAGCUAGAGUGCAGGAGAGGAAGGUAGAAUUCCCGGUGUAGCGGUGAAAUGCGUAGAGAUCGGGAGGAAUACCAGUGGCGAAGGCGGCCUUCUGGACUGCCACUGACACUGAGGUGCGAAAGCGUGGGUAGCAAACAGGAUUAGAUACCCCUGUAGUC